rnacentral:piRNA from 1 species
UGAAUGAUCCAUGAGAACAGGACCUGGAGA